CCCUUGAAGUUUUCACUAUUGGGGGUCGGUGCUGUUUUAUCAGAUUGCCUAUUAAAGGACUGCGGUAAGUAUAGAAUCUUAAUGGUUUCCCAUUAGUAAUUCUUUAUUCUACUCCAGACAGAAGUUUAACCCUUUCAAAAAAAGGAUGACAGAAUAAGAUUAUUGCCCUCCAGGAUCAGGAGGUGUGAGAUAUUUUAGCUUAUGCACGGGUGUUCCUGCUUUAUAAAGAAAUUCUGUUUAAAGGAAUCCCUUUAUUUUAAAGUGAUAUGAUGUCAGAUUGUGUUAGCUGCUGGAAGUGGCUUUAUUAUAGAAUUUAAAACUGUCCCACACAUUCUAUAUGUAAGGUAGCGCACAAGUAGAAAUAUUUAAUUCUCAAGAAGCAGCUUUAUUAACAGAUUGUAGUAAUUCCGUAUUUCUAGUGAGACAUCAGUUUUGUGCAAAAACAGUCCUUUUCAAACUUAGGUUAACCAUGAAAGGAAAUCGUACAGUAAAGCCAAAUAUAUAAAAUGAUUUAAAAGCAGGACCCAACUUAGAGGUCCUCUCAAAUAGAGUUUGCAAACUUGUGCUAAAGUCCUGUCUUAACAUUGUAACACGUUAUUCUUGGUCACUAAUCUAGCAAAUUCAUGGAACAAGGAUAUAACCAACAAUUUAGAAGGAACUGAUGCCCGAGCAAUCAAAAGAGAUGCCAUGAGAGCUCAGGAACCAUAGUGGUGUCAGUGGUUCUCGACCAGAAGCAGUAAGCUCUCUUUCCAGAGGUUGUUAGAAAACGGGACAUUUUUGGUCGUUGGAUUUACCUGGGGGGAUUCUGCUGGCAUUUAAGCAUGAAGAACAUCUCCCCCUCCCCUGCCUCCCCUCGCCCCCCCGCAGUGUGUAGGACAGCCGGGCACAAUGGAAUAUUAGCCUUCCUAAAGUGCCAGUAGAUCCCCUGUUGUAGAUUAUUUUAUUCCGAGGGACAGGGCAAAUUACCGGUAGAAGCAGAAUGAGAAAGGCCAAGUCAGGCAGACUGACGCUACUCCAUAGGGUAGACUCAUUCCAAUGUUGCAGGUUUGGCUGGUAAGGUGAGGUAAAGGCCUUGAUAGAUUCUGGUAGCUCAGUAGCAUUUUAAGUCAGUAGCUUGUAUUAAACCAGACGAAAAGACUCUAUUCUGUUAAACGGAAUUAGUGCAGAAAAGCAAGUAUUAACAAGCUAGUAAUCGAGAAUGGUCAAGUUGAGAUUUUCAGUGAACAGGGAGUAAGCUUAAAUAUCUGGAAAAACAACAAUGGAAAACCACCACCCCCCCCCAAUCUACCGGUAAUUUGCCAACAGUUGGUGUUUUCUCUUUCAUGGCAAGUGCUUUUUUGAAAGAAUGUUUGGAGGACCUGCUUCUGCUUUCCUACCCUAGUUCCUUAAAAUACUGAAGUCUUGUACAUUUUGUGAAGUUCCACUAUAUAUUUUGCUUAAGGUAAUAAAACUAGUUUGCCUCAUGUAGUCACUGAGUUGGGAGGAGAUAAAAGCUAAGGAUUUAAAACUGACCCUAAAUAAUAGAGAAUUUGCUAUAAACUAGUCUUGUUUGUAAAAAAGAAAAAUGUGUGUAUAUUACUGUUUUCUGUAUUAAGUAAUUCUGUAACUGCAUGGCAGUCUUUAAAUUUUUUUUUCUUUUAUUAUUUACAAAAUAGUUGUUACUGGUCCUGUCGUAUUAGUGAAUAUAGUUAAAA